GACAGAGGGGGCAAGCGUUGCUCGGAAUCACUGGGCGUAAAGGGCGCGUAGGCGGGAUGGCAAGUCAGUCGUGAAAUCUCUCGGCUCAACCGAGAAACGUCGGCUGAUACUGCCGUUCUUGAGGGAUGCAGAGGAGACUGGAAUUCCCGGUGUAGCGGUGAAAUGUGUAGAGAUCGGGAGGAACACCGGUGGCGAAGGCGGCUUCCUGGACCGAUACUGACGCUGAGACGCGAAAGCGUGGGGAGCAAACAGG
rnacentral:rRNA from 1 species